AGAGUAUCAUAUACUUCAUUGUUAAAAUUGGUAACAGCUAAAUGAUACGCAAGGACGGUAUUGCCCGCAUUUAGAAUACCACCAAGAUGGGUGCGUGUUAAGUGCGUUGACCCAUCGGAUGAUUUAAUCAAUUCCACAUCGGCGAGGGCAUACUUUCCAUUUGUUGGGCCUAAUAAAUCGACAUCGGCAACAAUGAACUCAGUAAGUUCGGGAAUAUCUGCAAGUGCAGGGAACGGGGUACGCCAAUAAAUUGAGGGAAGCAUAUCACAGGUUUGUAAAGUAAGCGGAUCAAGAAAGCGGAUCGUAGGUCCGA